rnacentral:rRNA from 1 species
GACGAACGCUGGCGGCGUGCCUAAUACAUGCGAGUAGAACGCUGAAGCGAGGAGCUUACUCUUCUUGGAUGAGUUGCGAACGGGUGAGUAACGCGUAGGUAACCUGCCUUGUAGCGGGGGAUAACUAUUGGAAACGAUAGCUAAUACCGCAUAACAAUGGAUGACACAUGUCAUUUAUUUGAAAGGGGCAAUUGCUCCACUACAAGAUGGACCUGCGUUGUAUUAGCUAGUAGGUGAGGUAAUGGCUCACCUAGGCGACGAUACAUAGCCGACCUGAGAGGGUGAUCGGCCACACUGGGACUGAGACACGGCCCAGACUCCUACGGGAGGCAGCAGUAGGGAAUCUUCGGCAAUGGGGGCAACCCUGACCGAGCAACGCCGCGUGAGUGAAGAAGGUUUUCGGAUCGUAAAGCUCUGUUGUAAGUCAAGAACGGGUGUGAGAGUGGAAAGUUCACACUGUGACGGUAGCUUACCAGAAAGGGACGGCUAACUACGUG